rnacentral:misc_RNA from 1 species
GAUGAAGAACGCAGCGAAAUGCGAUACGUAAUGUGAAUUGCAAAUUCAGUGAAUCAUCGAGUCUUUGAACGCACAUUGCGCCCCCUGGUAUUCCGGGGGGCAUGCCUGUCCGAGCGUCAUUGCAACCCUCAAGCCCGGCUUGUGUGUUGGGCCCUCGUCCCCCGUGGACGUGCCCGAAAUGCAGUGGCGGCGUCGUGUUCCGGUGCCCGAGCGUAUGGGGCUUUGUCACCCGCUCUUGGAGGCCCGGCCGGCGCUGGCCGAUCAACUUCUAGGCCUCGUGCCUUAACCAGGUUGACCUCGGAUCAGGUAGGGAUACCCGCUGAACUUAAGCAUAUCAAUAAGCGGAGGA